rnacentral:lncRNA from 1 species
GUGGAGGGAAAGAAUUCCAUGCGGCAUCUCCGGCCUCCGCUUCUUCGCCUGGGGAUCGGAGGGAACGCCUCGGCGGUGGCCUUGCAAGCCUUGCAGGCCCUGCUGAAAUUGAUCUGGCUUCUUGGGCUUAGGAAACGAAAGACGAGACCCAGUACGUCUUUUGGGAUGCUCGCCGAAGAAGAGACCUCCGAGGGAUUCGCCAUGGAGAAGAAAUUAAAAGACAG